rnacentral:lncRNA from 1 species
UCAUUGUCAAGUUGUGUGACGGGGUUAUUGGUCACAGAUUAGAUCAUAAUUUCCACAUCAAUGUGGUUUAAAAGCUAUUUUAGGAAUGUCCUUAGGCUCCACCCUAAUUUGGUGAUAACCAUCCCUUAAAUCCACCUUAGAAAAUUACUUUCCCAUAUAGCUCAUCAAGCAAGUCAUCUACGAUGGGUAUUUGAAACUUAUCCUUUAUAGUCAACUCAUUCAAUCUAUUUUUAAUCUAUAUAGAAUCUCCACAAGCUAUUCUUUUCGUUUCUUUUUUUCUUGGUUGUAUGAUGGAAGCAUCCCACGUCUCAGUAACAAGCUUCUUAAUUUUUGCUUUUUGGAAAUAAGGAUACCCAUAAGAUCUACUGUUUGCUGGUUGAGCUGCUAGCUGAAGAGGUAUAGCAUGAUUAUGACCUUUAAAACAUGGUAAGUGUUUAGGUUCCUCAAAUAUAACAUUAUAUAUACACAUCAAUGGUUGCAACAUAUCAUCAAUAAUUGAGUUCUCGUGAGUUGCCUUAUUGGUCUGAACUAAUUGUUUAAUGCAAAACAGAGAAGAUUAGAAGUCCCAUCUCUUUUCUGUCAAACCACCUUUCAGUUUGCCACACUGUAAAAUGCAAGCUGAAAGCUUCCUAUGACCUUUCCCAACACUUACAUAGAAGUAAAAAAUAAAUUUGGACAAAAUUAUGAAAUUUUAAAAUUUUUCUUAAUUAUUAUAAUUU